CCCCAGAGACGAUGGGGUUGAUAGGCCGGAGGUGGAAGCACGGUAACGUGUGGAGCUGACCGGUACUAAUAGGCCGAGGACUUGACCAC
rnacentral:rRNA from 1 species